rnacentral:rRNA from 1 species
UACGGAGGGGGCUAGCGUUGUUCGGAAUUACUGGGCGUAAAGGGCGCGUAGGCGGCUCGUUAAGUCAGGCGUGAAAGCCCCGGGCUCAACCUGGGAACUGCGCUUGGGACUGAUGGGCUCGAGACCGGGAGGGGAUGGCGGAAUUCCCAGUGUAGAGGUGAAAUUCGUAGAUAUUGGGAAGAACACCGGUGGCGAAGGCGGCCAUCUGGACCGGAUCUGACGCUGAGGCGCGAAAGCGUGGGGAGCAAACAGG